AGUGAUAUUAAAAAUCAAUAAGUGCAGUCUUUGAAGCUCCAAUUUUAAAAUCAAGGGGCUAAAAUACAAAAUAUCAUAAAUAUCCUGUUUAUAAUGAGUCAAGAGUCAAAGGUUCAUUUACUUCUGGAGACAAAUGGUUUAUUGAAAGCAGCAAAGGUCCCUAUAACUUAUGAAAAGACUAGUAAAAGAAAAUCUACAAAAUUACAAAAAAAUAUUGGAAAACAAGAGUAAAAUUCAUAACUAUAAACCUGAUCCAGAGUAUUAUUCACUUCUAAAAUCUGCUUAGAAAUGUAAAAACUUCAGAAUCAUCAAGUAAACUAUUAAAAAAGUUCAAGACUUUUUCUUUUGCAACUAUAUCUAGCACUGCAAAUAUACAGUAGCAAGAAUAUAGUAUAGAUACUGCUAAUAAUCCCAUUUAUUGUGGAAAGCCAAAUUAUUAAAAUUAUGAUUUAUCAAAAAUAGUAAUUAAUGAUUUAUCUAUUAAGUGUUUUUGAGUUAGUAAUAUUGAGCAUCCUGUUGAUUUUUUGGUUGUUAUAGAAAAUAAAAACAAUUGAUGUUGACCAUCAUCAUGUUGGUGAUGAUGAUAAUGAUGGUUGUGAUGGUGACUACAUACCUUCUGAUAUGUAGUCAAUGAAACGAAGAAUAAAUAUCUAAAACAUUUUCUCCGUUUAUUGAUAUUUUAUAAAUGAUGAUUUUAUAAAAUGAUUUCUAUUGCUAUCUAACUGGCCCUGAUAGAGCUAGGAAAUCUAGAUCGAUUGAUAAAGUUAAAAAUGAAGAUAAAAUAAUGUUUUUAGAUGUUGGUAUAACUAAAUUAAUUAAUGUUUUACCAAUAUUAGUAAAAAAAACUUUAAAUAUUUUGCGUUGACCAUAAGUUAGAAGCAGGAUCAAAUAUAUAUGUUAUAAGAAGUUAUUUAGGUUCUUUAAAAGAUUUUCUUUUUUUUAGUCUUAAAUUAUGUGUACCAAACAACUUCUAACAUUAAAGACAUGAGAAAAAAUAUAUCAUAGUAGGGACAAUGUAAAAAAACAUAAAAGAGUUGAUAAUCUGCUUAUUACUUCUGAGCAAGUUAAAAUUUACGUGGGAAGCAAAAGUGCUGUUAUUAUAGAACAGUUACUUGAGGAUUUAAAAAUCAAUUCAAAUUAUGAUGAUCAAUAUUUUGGGAUCAUAAAACCGUUUCUAUGUAUGGACCAGCAAGGUUUACUCUGAGUUCGUUUGAGCAUAAAUGGAUUAAUACUUUUGUUAAUUUAGUUAGGCCUAAACUACCUUCCUUUUUCUCAGAUAUCAAGAAUCAGAUAAAAAAUGCUAUCCUAGCUCCCUGCCAUCUAAAGAUUAUGAGGUUAAAGAUUGUGAAAAAAAAAUUAUUAACCAGCUAUGAUUGACAAAUAAUAAAAGUCAUUUUAAUUCUUCUACACCUAAAAAGCACUGGUUAAAGAAAAAAUAAGUUCUUGAAGUGUAUUUUUUCCAGAAAAUAUUUCUCAAAAAAUACGAUAGCAAUGUGAAAUCAACAAUUAUGAAAUAUCUGUCUGUUGAUGGCUUAUCAUGACAGGUUUACGAUAAGCUAAAUAGCCUCAAAAGAAAGAAAGCCAGAGAAACAAAAAUCAAGGUUGGAAAGGCGGGGGCACACGCCCCUCACCUUAAGUUAAUAUAUGUACCACUAGUAUUUUUUGUAAAGUAGUUAAAUUUAUUUUUUGUACUUUAUAUUAGAUUUAUUCAUUUUAAUAAAGA
rnacentral:lncRNA from 1 species